GGCUGUCGUGGCCUAUGUGCCAGAGUAUCGCUUUGACGGGAUGGAUUGGGUCGGUACCAUGAAGCACACGACACAUCUCAUUCUCUUCUCCCUCGAGCCGACUGCCUCUGGUGAGCUCAUGGGCUCAGACCAGCUCAAGGUAGUUUUGAAUCCCGACUCUCGGUUCAAGUUUGCCUUGGACCAGGCAGGGGCAAGCGCACCGAAGGU
rnacentral:snRNA from 1 species